rnacentral:rRNA from 1 species
GAUGAACGCUGGCGGCGUGCCUAAUACAUGCAAGUCGAGCGAACGGACGAGAAGCUUGCUUCUCUGAUGUUAGCGGCGGACGGGUGAGUAACACGUGGAUAACCUACCUAUAAGACUGGGAUAACUUCGGGAAACCGUAGCUAAUACCGGAUAAUAUUUUGAACCGCAUGGUUCAAAAGUGAAAGACGGUCUUGCUGUCACUUAUAGAUGGAUCCGCGCUGCAUUAGCUAGUUGGUAAGGUAACGGCUUACCAAGGCAACGAUGCAUAGCCGACCUGAGAGGGUGAUCGGCCACACUGGAACUGAGACACGGUCCAGACUCCUACGGGAGGCAGCAGUAGGGAAUCUUCCGCAAAGGGCGAAAGCCUGACGGAGCAACGCCGCGUGAGUGAUGAAGGUCUUCGGAUCGUAAAACUCUGUUAUUAGGGAAGAACAUAUGUGUAAGUAACUGUGCUCAUCUUGACGGUACCUAAUCAGAAAGCCACGGCUAACUACGUG